rnacentral:misc_RNA from 1 species
GAUGAAGAACGUAGCGAAAUGCGAUAAGUAAUGUGAAUUGCAGAAUUCAGUGAAUCAUCGAAUCUUUGAACGCACAUUGCGCCCCCUGGUAUUCCGGGGGGCAUGCCUGUUCGAGCGUCAUUACGCCCCUCAAGUCCCCUGUGGACUUGGUGUUGGGGAUCGGCGAGGCUGGUUUUCCAGCACAGCCGUCCCUUAAAUUAAUUGGCGGUCUCGCCGUGGCCCUCCUCUGCGCAGUAGUAAAACACUCGCAACAGGAGCCCGGCGCGGUCCACUGCCGUAAAACCCCCCAACUUUUUAUAGUUGACCUCGAAUCAGGUAGGACUACCCGCUGAACUUAAGCAUAUCAAUAAGCGGAGGA